rnacentral:rRNA from 1 species
AAUAGAUACCCGGGUAGUCCACGCCGUAAACGAUGAGUGCUAAGUGUUAGGGGGUUUCCGCCCCUUAGUGCUGCAGCUAACGCAUUAAGCACUCCGCCUGGGGAGUACGGUCGCAAGACUGAAACUCAAAGGAAUUGACGGGGGCCCGCACAAGCGGUGGAGCAUGUGGUUUAAUUCGAAGCAACGCGAAGAACCUUACCAGGUCUUGACAUCCCAUUGGCCACUAUGGAGACAUAGUUUUCCCUUCGGGGACAACGGUGACAGGUGGUGCAUGGUUGUCGUCAGCUCGUGUCGUGAGAUGUUGGGUUAAGUCCCGCAACGAGCGCAACCCUUGUUCUUAGUUGCCAUCAUUUAGUUGGGCACUCUAAGGAGACUGCCGGUGACAAACCGGAGGAAGGUGGGGAUGACGUCAAAUCAUCAUGCCCCUUAUGACCUGGGCUACACACGUGCUACAAUGGACGGUACAAACGGUUGCCAACCCGCGAGGGGAGCUAAUCCGAUAAAACCGUUCUCAGUUCGGAUUGUAGGCUGCAACUCGCCUACA